CGGGCGCGAUCGGUGCAGCCGCGACCUGGGCGCGCGAGUGCGAGUUUCCCGAACCGACCUAUAGAGAGGGCGUCUAUUGCGGACGGAUCCGAUUUAAACGCUACCUAGGAAAGGAAGGGACGCUUCCAUUUUUGCCGAGCCCUAAACUGGAGAGAGGGCGUAUUGGGAGAGGAAGGCAGAGGUGGCGGUGUGGGGAGCCCAAACUUCGGGUGUGUGCGUUGGAGAGAGGGUACAUUGGCCGGCCGUACUCCCAGCGGUCGCCCUCUCGUGCGUCGGGUGGGGUUGUCGUCGCCCCUCGACCGGACGGCGCGCGGCGGCCCCUCCGCUGGGCCGCUAGCCUCCUCUCCCCGGUACCGCGCCUUCGUGCCGACCGUCGAGGGCCGGGUGUGGGACGUCCGCCGAAGGCCGCCUCCUCAGAACACCACAAGCACCUCCGACGCUCCUCCAUCGCUACCCCUAGCCGAUGGCUCGCUCCCGUUCCCGCGGCUAGAGGGUAGAGGACAAUCAUAAGUGACCGCGCCGGUGGUAGCUGACCUAGANNNNNNNNNGUCUUCUACACGGUACUCAACUACCCGUCGAUCGGUCGGCAACGUUCUCGUAAGUCUCUAUACUCGACGAUGAGUAUGUGUCGAGGAUGUUUGGAUGUCUCGGUAACAAGAGGAUGGACCCUCGCCUAUCCUUCCUAAACCCACGGCCGUUGUACCCCGACUCUUCUUUCCUCCUACAAACUCCUGUUGAUCACUCGCAUGAUGUUGGCGUCGACUAAGCACACACAACAAACAAGCUAGGUUGGGAAGGCAGACGUCCCGGACCACUUCCCUUACUUCUACGUGUGGGAGCCGGUACUGAAACAUGAGAUCGAUAUGAGAAUAUUUACAGUGCCUACCCUCCCUUCUGUUCCUCCCGUGUCCUUUGUCAGCUACUUUGUACCAACUUCAACAACAACAAGACGUGGAGUAGGUUUGGUAGAAAUCUACAACCUUUUCAUGUCCGUUUCGCGAGUCGUAGCCACACCAGAGAAGCAUCUCAGAGUUCAACUACGAUAAUUUUUAUCUGAACUAUUUUUUAUGUUGUGUACACUACCGAAAGUACACGCGCAGUUCAGAUAACUACCAAAAGUUCCUCUUCUCCUACUAUAUAAUUAUGAUAGUGGCCAUUAUAGGUUAACCUUACCUCAACAACCCAAAGAACGACUAUUGGUUUCUUGUUUGUAAUGUACCCUGUUCCCGUUCCGAGACCUAAAAGACUUACUUAGCAAUCCUAUAUGUUGACUUCGUUACUGCAGGACGGCCACAUAUAUCCGCUGCUGGCGUAGCUGUCCUAGGACCACCGGUUCACGGAGUUCCUCUCGUCGUGCAGAAUGAGUGAGGGUUCUGGUCGUCUCGAAAAAGUACCGGAAAUCUGUAAACUUUGCCUCCCUCAUACUAAGAGGAUAUAAACGCACGAACAUCGAAACUAAAUAAAAUACUUACACACGACGACGACAUAGAAUAAAAAGGUUGGAUAACUAGGACAGUCUACACGCGGUCCCGUCCGAGACCAGUCGUGAUUCCCUAAAGUCAAUAUUAAGGUACUCGUUACGAACGUAAAUGUACACGCAGGUCCUGUAUUUUUUCUAGACUUUUCAUGCCACUGGAUGCACCGUGGCGUCUCAAAGGCGAGUCCUCUGCGGCGCUCCCCGCGGGGUUGGUGAUCACUCUCCCUAUUAGGACGACCUGGUCAGGGUCUCUCGUAAGCUUCGCACAAAUACAGCUCCGCGUAGGACUUCUCGUAAGGUUCACUGUGUUGACUUGAGGCGGCGGCAGACCCUAAGUCUUUGUGCCCCUCGUAUGUCUGUGGUUACUUGCUCGGUGCGGCGGAGAAACCACCGGUGGUG
rnacentral:rRNA from 1 species